rnacentral:rRNA from 1 species
UAUCUCUGUAGAGUCUGCAUAUCAAUAAGCGGAGGAAAAGAAACUAACUAGGAUUCCCUUAGUAACGGCGAGUGAAGCGGGAAGAGCUCAAAUUUGAAAUCUUCAAGGUUCUACCUUGACGAAUUGUAGUUUAAAGAAGUGUUUUCUGUAGGAGUUUUGGUAAAAGUUCUUUGGAAUAGGACAUCAUAGAGGGUGAGAAUCCCGUAUUUGACCAUUAUUUCCAGCUUUGUGAUACACUUUCAAAGAGUCGGAUUGUUUGGGAAUGCAGUCCAAAAUGGGUGGUAAAUUUCAUCUAAAGCUAAAUAUUGGCGAGAGACCGAUAGCGAACAAGUACCGUGAGGGAAAGAUGAAAAGAACUUUGAAAAGAGAGUUAAACAGUACGUGAAAUUGUCAAAAGGGAAGCGUUUGACACCAGUGUUGUUUUCUCGAAAAUCAAUUAAAAAAGGCAGGAUUUUGUGUUGUAUUGACUUUAUCAGCUUUCUGCACUCUUUUCUUGUCUUUUUUAAUGCACUUUUCGUUUAACAAGUCAACAUCAAUUUCUUUUGUUGUAAAAGGGUCAUUGGAAGGUGGCUUUCUUUUCGGAGAAAGUGUUUAUAGCCUUUGGCCUCUGCAAUAGGAGAGAUUGAGGUCUGCAGCGUAGAUCCUUCGGGGUUAGAUACAUUUGUGCUAAGUUAUAGCCUUUCAUAGACAACUUGUUGACUAUGAUCAGUCAUGUAGCUUACUCGCUUAUGCUAUUUUACCUACGCUUAGGAUGUUGACGAUCAGCUGAGCGC